rnacentral:misc_RNA from 1 species
CACUCAUACCACACGUCGACUUCCGUUCUCCACCUUUCCAGUGUGCCCAUGCGCCAUGGCGGAUGUGCAGUUGAAGGCAUUGCUCACGGGUGUGGAGGCGGAGCGCGGGGCAACUGUGACGUGCCGCGAUCCGUCCGCGCUUGAGAUGCUGCUGCGGAUCAGCAACUCCGACGCCAAUCGAGGGAGUGUGUCCGUGUUCUUCCAAAACACCAGCGCAGCCUCGUCGCCGGCGGCGCAGAUGUUGUUCAUCAACGAGAAGUAUGCAAAGUCAGUGGAGGAAGAGGUGCAGUUGUGGCUGGACCCCUUCAAGACAACCGCCGUUGAAGUGACCGCCGGCAGUGAGCGAAAACGCGCCCGCGCCGACUCCGAAAGCGACGACUUCGAGAGCGAAAUGGACUCGGACGCGUAGCUGCGACGACCCCAGAACGACGCGGCAACAGCAGAAACGGUUCCUCGUGCUCCUGCACUGCCUCACCACACCGUUGGCUUGUGGUGGAUCUGGCCAGUGAGAGGCGGAAGAGGCAAGUGUAGCGCUGCCCAACUUCAUGCGGAGCGUUCAUAUGCGUUGCUGAGAAGCGCGCAGAGUCGUGUGUACGUACUUUGCUUCUGUAUACGACACUCG